rnacentral:ncRNA from 1 species
ACAGGAGGCUCAAAAUGGGCCCUUGAUGAAGUAAUUUAUCACAGGAAUUCAGCUAUAACGGUGAAAUCCUUCAACUAAGCUCAGGAUAAACUCUUGAUUUUACAAAGGACAACGCCGUGGGAAGUCUUCCAAUGCAUAAAGCUAGGGAUGACCCCGUAGAGACUAUACGCUGACCCCUGAAGUAGAUCUAUUUUCAGCAGAUCACUACAGGGUGAAGACAUAGUCCGACACCUUAAGUAAUUGAGGA